GUCGAGAGGCUUCGGCAAUGGGGGCAACCCUGACCGAGCGACGCCGCGUGGAGGAUGAAGGCCUUUGGGUUGUAAACUCCUUUCGUGGGGGAAGAAUGUGCCCGGGGUGAAUAAUCCCGAGUAUUGACGGUACCCCAAGAAGAAGCUCCGGCUAACUCCGUGCCAGCAGCCGCGGUAAUACGGGGGGAGCAAGCGUUGUUCGGAAUCACUGGGCGUAAAGGGAGUGUAGGCGGUUCGGUAAGUGGGAUGUGAAAUGCCCGGGCUCACCCCGGGACCUGCAUCUCAUACUGCUGAGCUUGAGUACAGGAGAGGGUGGGGGAAUUCCUGGUGUAGCGGUGAAAUGCGUAGAUAUCAGGAGGAACACCGGUGGCGAAGGCGCCCACCUGGCCUGCUACUGACGCUGAUGCUCGAAAGCUAGGGGAGCAAACGGGAUUAGAAACCCGUGUAGUCC
rnacentral:rRNA from 1 species